UACGAGGGGGGCAAGCGUUGUUCGGAAUUAUUGGGCGUAAAGGGUGCGUAGGCGGUCUGACAAGUCUGAUGUGAAAUCUAUGGGCUCAACCCAUAGUCUGCACCGGAAACUGUCGGGCUUGAGUAUGGGAGAGGUGAGUGGAACUGCGAGUGUAGAGGUGAAAUUCGUAGAUAUUCGCAAGAACACCAGUGGCGAAGGCGGCUCACUGGCCCGGUACUGACGCUGAGGUGCGAAAGCGUGGGGAGCAAACAGG
rnacentral:rRNA from 1 species